AAUGCUGCCAGGCUCAGAGGGGGAGUGACUUACCCUGGUCCACUAGGCAGUGGGGGCAGAGCCAGGGCAAGGAGCCCAGGGUACAUUUCCGCCAGGACCCCAGGGUGGGACUGUGAUCUUUGCCAUCCAGAGUCAAAGCUCAGAAGCGAAGGCCAGCUUGAGGGCAGUGGUAGCUUGAGAACUUCUUACUCCAGGAAUUUGCAGGCUGGUCUUGAAUUCCUCUUGGCAGAACAAACACUUAGACUGUCUUUGGGAUAAAAGGGUUUAUCCAUGGCAGUUGGAGCACGUGUUCAGGGGUUUGCUUUCUGGUUCUGCUAUAUACUGUUUACUGGGGAACACCACAGACCCUCUGACCUCAAUUUUUCCAUCUAUAAAAUGAGAACCAUAAUAGCAUGGAAGGACUUCUGUGAGAUACAGUGUCAGUCUUUGGAGUUGGACCUGCACAGUGCACAGAAUACAGGCUCAAUAGCUGUUUCUUUGUGAUUUGGGGGGCCCUGAUGGGGGUUGAGUCCUUGACAUUGCUAUGGCCCGAGUAUUGAAAGAGAGCAUUGGCCUUGCCCCUGCCCAGUCUCCAGCACCCACCAGGCUCUGGGUCCAUGCCAGUCUCCUGAAACUCUCUUCAUUGCUUUGAUGAUGGAAACCCUGGCCAGCAACCCUGGGGGUUGGAGUACAGGACACACAGAGGACUCUCCCAGGCUGUGCCCUUGGCAAGUGGCUGCACAGAACUGGAGUGUGAACCAGGGCUUCUACCUCUGGGGCCCACAGUUUAAAUUGCAUCGAAAUGGGAGAUAUUGAUGUCCCCAGGAAACUGAGGCCAGAGUGGCAAAUGCAUUUCCCCAAGGUCACAGAGCUGGUGACCUUGGGGUCAGAACAGAACUCUGCCCUGCAGCCCAUUGGACUCUGCAGCUGGAUCUCAUCCACCCAUCCCCUCCCUGCCUUUCUCUGUCUUCUGGGCUAUUCUAUGGGCAGGCGAGUUGGUCCCACCCCCUCAUUCUUUACCUCCUAGAUGGCUCUCCAGGCUUCCUGCCUCCCCACCACCCACAUCCACCUCAGCUCCCUGAGUCUAUUUUCCAUUUGAGAAAACUAGAGUGGAGCUCACAGGCCUAGAAGGUUCCACUGGGGGAGAAGAGCUCAGUGCAGCCCACCCAUCCCCCCAAGCCAGCAGGAACACCUUGUCCCCUGCACACUGUGGCCAAUUCAAACCCUUAUUCCUGGAGCCUGGCCUGGCUAAUAUGCUGGGCACAAGGUCAAAGUUUGCUGAAUCCAGGAAGCACGUCAUCAGCAGCCCUGGGAGCCAAAGGCUGGUGUCCAGUUCAACUGAGCAGGGGUUGUGACUAUGUUCUUCCUCCCCUCUGGACUUUGCUUCCAGAAACAUUGUGUGUCUGAGUCCCAUCUGGAUGCCUACAGGUGCCACUGCCAUCUGUGGGCAGAGCCCUGGGAGGGGAACGUGUGUAGCCCUGUGUCUGGAGCACCCUUGUUCCUCCCUGAUGCCACUAGCUCAGACUGGGCUCAGGUGAUAACAGAUUAGCAGCAGUGGGAUGUGGCCGUUACUCUCUGUGCCCAGCCUGGGCCAAGAGGUGGGUUCCAGGGACCUUGCUCAACGGUCACUCUAAACAGAUGGGCCAACCUGCACCACACCCUGAGGGGCAGAAAGGGUACACACUGGGGGCUGGGCUGGCACCCUGGAACCUGGAUUUCAGAAAUGAUAACAGUGGUUAUGCCCAGAGGUUUGCACAAGUGGCGGGUGGAGGUGGAGCUGGGUGGUAGAGCACUUGCCUACAUGUGUGAGGCCCUAGGUUUGAUCCUUGGCACCACAGCGGGGAGAAACACACACACACACACACACACACACACACAGUGUUUUUCCCUUCCCUGGGAUUUGGGCUGUUCUCUGCAGAGGGUGCCAACAACCCACCCCUGGCAAAAUCUUGGUGGACUCUGACUUGAUCCAGCGUCCCUCGCAGAGACCACUUCACAGGCUGCUGCAGGAAUGAGCAUGUGACCCCAUGGGCCUGAGGACUGGGAGCUUUGCUGGCUUCCUGUGACUUCACCUGGUGUACCUUUCCCUUUGCUCACUUGGCUCUGCAUUUUGGCUGUCGUGAAUCCCAGCGUGCGUGUGGCUGUAACCAGGACUGCAAGUGCUCCUAGCAAGUCACUGAACUGGGGCUGCUCUUGGGGACUUCUGGCGCUGUUAUGGCAGCCAUGGCAUCUCUACUCAGCCUGACACACUGGCGAUGACCCCGCCUGGUUCUACUGCUUCACAAGGCAGAAGCUUUGUUUGGGGAAUGAAAGGCUGAAAGUCAAGCAGCAGCUUCCCUUGGGUGGAGUGUGAGCGUCCCAGCGGCCGCAGCCCUGGCGCCCUGGCGCCCUCCUCCUUGGCACCCUGAUGGCCCAGGUGCCUGACACUGACUCCAAGCCGAAGUCAGGCACAGUUGCUUUGCCCAGUGAGUCAGAUCCUGACUCCAUGAUGGUGGCAGAUUGGAGUCACCCCUCUGUGGAGCCACAUAGGGCGAAAACACCUUGGAGCUGCUGGAUCACCUGGGUCACUUACAGAAGUCUUGAUGAAAGUGCUAAACAUGCCACCUAUUCUCACGACUUGAUGGAGGGUUAAAGGAAGAGGAACCAGUGCAGUCUUGUCGCUUGGAACCUUCAGCUUUUCCGAGUAUGGACUGCACAGUGUCUUCAUGCUGAUUUCCUUUUCAGUGCAUCUAAUUGCCCUUCCUGGUUCUGCAGCAAAUUGUAUUUACACGAUUUUCAUCAUAA